rnacentral:rRNA from 1 species
UACGUAGGGUGCGAGCGUUAAUCGGAAUUACUGGGCGUAAAGCGUGCGCAGGCGGUGCACCAAGCUCGAUGUGAAAGCCCCGGGCUUAACCUGGGAAUUGCAUUGAGGACUGGUGUGCUCGAGUGCGGCAGAGGGGGGUGGAAUUCCACGUGUAGCAGUGAAAUGCGUAGAGAUGUGGAGGAACACCGAUGGCGAAGGCAGCCCCCUGGGCCGACACUGACGCUCAUGCACGAAAGCCAGGGGAGCAAACGGG